rnacentral:rRNA from 1 species
CCUACGGGACGCAGCAGUGAGGAAUAUUGGUCAAUGGGCGAGAGCCUGAACCAGCCAAGUCGCGUGAGGGAAGACGGUCCUAUGGAUUGUAAACCUCUUUUGCCGGGGAGCAAAAAGCGGUACGUGUACCGCAUCGAGAGUACCCGGAGAAAAAGCAUCGGCUAACUCCGUGCCAGCAGCCGCGGUAAUACGGAGGAUGCGAGCGUUAUCCGGAUUUAUUGGGUUUAAAGGGUGCGUAGGUGGUUAAUUAAGUCAGCGGUGAAAGUUUGUGGCUCAACCAUAAAAUUGCCGUUGAAACUGGUUGA